rnacentral:rRNA from 1 species
CGCCUCUUGAAUUUUAUAAGAGGUCCAGCCUGCCCAGUGACUUUGUUCAACGGCCGCGGUAUCCUAACCGUGCGAAGGUAGCGUAAUCAUUUGUUCUUUAAAUUAGGACUAGUAUGAACGGCAUCACGAAGGUUUUACUGUCUCCUUUUUCCAAUCAGUGAAACUAAUCUUCCCGUGAAGAAGCGGGAAUAUAAGUAUAAGACGAGAAGACCCUAUGGAGCUUAAAACAAUUCAACACUUGCUUAAAUAUUUAAAAAUUUCAGAACUUCGAACUCUUCAAGCAACAUGAUUGUAAAGUUUUUGGUUGGGGUGACCACGGAGUAUAAUGCAACCUCCCUGUUGAAAGUUCUUCUAAGCUAAGAAUUACUUAUCUAAGCAUCAACACACUGACACUCCUUGACCCAAUAUAUUUGAUCAACGAACCAAGUUACCCUAGGGAUAACAGCGCAAUCUACUUCAAGAGCCCCUAUCGACAAGUAGGUUUACGACCUCGAUGUUGGAUCAGGGUAUCCUAGUGGUGUAGCCGCUACUAAAGGU